CUUCCCGCCGGUGGCCUGGAACGGAUAGGCCGUGUGUGCCUCUUCCAGAGAGGCCACGCCUGUCUCGGUGAGGCUGACUGUUUUUAGAGACCACAGUCCCCUCACCGGGAGUUGCUUCUGUUUCCUGUAUUUGAAAAAUAGAAGAAGUGCACAUAUCCAGUCAAGGAUAUUAAGUAAGAAUGAACUGGAGAAACUACAAAAUCGAACACACAAGUAUAAUCGAAAUACUCCACUCAGUGUCCUUAAGGAACUAACAAAGAAUACAGCUGCUAUCCACUUGCCUACUUCAUGUUUUACAUACGUAAUUAAGGAGUUGGGACUCUGAGCAGGUGAACUGGCUGGACAGAAAGCUGGGGUAAGCUUUGGAGCAAUGUGCUGUCUUGCUUCAUCCCGAUUCACAUGUUUGUCUCCAUAUGAGUCCCCGUAUGUUCAGAAAUAAAACCCAUCCUAAAGGACAAGGAUUUUUUCAGUGAGCAAAUUCAACAGAUUUUCAAAUACGCUUGGAAGUAAUCCAGAAAAGGAACUGCAUUUGAACAUACUGCAUUUGAGAAGAAUGCUUUGAAUAAAGGCUGCAUUAUUAAAGUCCACUGAGGGGGGCGCCUGGGUGGCUCAGUCAUUAAGCGCCUGCCUUCGGCUCAGGUCAUGAUCCCAGGGUCCUGGAUCGAGCCCCGCAUCGAGCCCUGCAUGGGGCUCCCCGCUCCG